rnacentral:rRNA from 1 species
GACGAACGCUGGCGGCGUGCCUAACACAUGCAAGUCGAGCGAACAGACGAGGAGCUUGCUCCUCUGACGUUAGCGGCGGACGGGUGAGUAACACGUGGAUAACCUACCUAUAAGACUGGGAUAACUUCGGGAAACCGGAGCUAAUACCGUAUAAUAUAUUGAACCGCAUGGUUCAAUAGUGAAAGACGGUUUUGCUGUCACUUAUAGCUGGAUCCGCGCUGCAUUAGCUGGUUGGUAAGGUAACGGCUUACCAAGGCAACGAUGCGUAGCCGACCUGAGAGGGUGAUCGGCCACACUGGGAGUGAGACACGGUCCAGACUCCUACGGGAGGCAGCAGUAGGGAAUCUUGCGCAAUGGGCGAAAGCCUGACGGAGCAGCGCCGCGUGAGUGAUGAAGGUCUUCGGGUCGUAAAACUCUGUUAUUGGGGAAGAACAAGUGUGUAAGUGACUAUGCACGUCUUGACGGUACCUAAUCAGAAAGCCACGGCUAACUACGUG